AAACUUAAAGGAAUUGACGGGGGCCCGCACAAGCGGCGGAGCAUGUGGAUUAAUUCGAUGCAACGCGAAGAACCUUACCUGGGUUUGACAUGCACAGGACGUACCUAGAGAUAGGUAUUCCCUUGUGGCCUGUGUGCAGGUGGUGCAUGGCUGUCGUCAGCUCGUGUCGUGAGAUGUUGGGUUAAGUCCCGCAACGAGCGCAACCCUUGUCCUAUGUUGCCAGCGGGUAAUGCCGGGGACUCGUAGGAGACUGCCGGGGUCAACUCGGAGGAAGGUGGGGAUGACGUCAAGUCAUCAUGCCCCUUAUGUCCAGGGCUUCACACAUGCUACAAUGGCCAGUACAGAGGGCUGCGAAGCCGCAAGGUGGAGCGAAUCCCUUAAAGCUGGUCUCAGUUCGGAUUGGGGUCUGCAACUCGACCCCAUGAAGUCGGAGUCGCUAGUAAUCGCAGAUCAGCAACGCUGCGGUGAAUACGUUCCCGGGCCUUGUACACACCGCCCGUCACGUCAUGAAAGUCGGUAACACCCGAAGCCAGUGGCCUAACCUUUU
rnacentral:rRNA from 1 species